rnacentral:rRNA from 1 species
AGGACGAACGCUGGCGGCGUGCUUAACACAUGCAAGUCGAGCGGUAAGGCCCUUUCGGGGGUACACGAGCGGCGAACGGGUGAGUAACACGUGGGUGACCUGCCCUCAGCUCUGGGAUAAGCCCGGGAAACUGGGUCUAAUACCGGAUAUGACCACAUGUCGCAUGGUGUGUGGUGGAAAGUUUUUCGGCUGGGGAUGGGCCCGCGGCCUAUCAGCUUGUUGGUGGGGUGAUGGCCUACCAAGGCGACGACGGGUAGCCGGCCUGAGAGGGCGACCGGCCACACUGGGACUGAGACACGGCCCAGACUCCACGGGAGGCAGCAGUGGGGAAUAUUGCGCAAUGGGCGGAAGCCUGACGCAGCGACGCCGCGGUGGGGAUGACGGCCUUCGGUGUAAACCUCUUCGACCUUGACGAAGCCUUCGGUGACGGUAGGGUAGAAGAAGCACCGGCCAACUACGUGCCAGCAGCCGC